UGAAAAUGUGUGUAUUGUGGGAAGGUUUGUGUUAGGGUUAUAACUACAGAUGAUUGUUUAUCGCUAUUUAGUGAAGUUAUCUAACUGAUAUACUAAAAGAUAGUGUCCUAAAUGGCAGUUAUUUAGACGUGGCAACCUUAGUGGGUACUUCUACCAGCUGCUCCCCUGCUUGUACGCCUCAGUGGCACUGUGGACAUGAUAGAGGGAGGAUGUGCUCAUCAAUCAUCUGCGCAACUUUAAGUGGUGGAGGCUACUGGAGGAGUGAGAGGCUAACACGUGGAGGGUCCUCCAUGGCCUGAUAGUGGGCGCCACCUUCCUGCACUGGUUUGAUGACCAAGAUACGAGAUACGUGAGAGGCACUGCGUCACAUCCGACAACCGAAAAGUUGGAGUCCAAGAACAUAAGCUCUACCCGCAGGAAGACAACUUGAGCGGGAACCAAGAGAAGGACUUGAGCGGGAACCAAGAGGAGAACUUUAGCGGGAACCAAGAGGAGAACUUGAGCGGGAACCAAGAGGAGGACUUGAGCGGGAGCUCUGUAAGCAGAUCACGACAACAUAAGAGGUACUGGCUGCUGACUAAGGUGACCAGGGAGAGCGGCUUUCUUGUCUAUGCAUCGAGUGCAGAACACUUCUCCACACCUCCAGCAGUGGUGCUGAAAAGAGAAAUACACAGGUGAUUGAACGGCUACCUGCAUGAAGCGAGACCGUCGCUCUAAUAGAAGGUAGAAAAUAGAGUUUUGGACUGGGUGCCAACUUUCUGGGCCAACCCUUGUGAGAAAGAUAUCCAAGACCCCCAACUGCAGUUGCUUUGGUCAUGCUCUUAGGUGCCACAACCAGCAGAGAAGACAGAAUUCAGGUUGCAAAACUGACCGUGUGGGUCCAGGUUAUUUGCCAAAACAGGAAGAUGUGAAGGUGAAGCAAGCUGUACCUUGUUCUUAUGGAGGUAGGAAAGAACUGGAAAGCGGCCCUUGCUGCGAAACUUGGAGCUGCUGAGAAUGACUUUAGUGGGAGCUGAGGCAGGAACAUAGAGCUCCUGGGGGUAGGUGUCACAGAUCUGCCAACGAAAAACAAUCAUAUUGAUGCACAGGUUAGCAUCC